rnacentral:rRNA from 1 species
AAAAAAGGUAAGCUACUAAGAGCGAAUGGUGGAUGCCUUGACUGGUAAAGGCGAUGAAGGACGUACUAGACUGCGAUAAGCUACGGGGAGCUGUCAAGAAGCUUUGAUCCGUAGAUUUCCGAAUGGGGCAACCCAAUGUAUAGAGAUAUACAUUACCUAUAUAGGAGCGAACGAGGGGAAUUGAAACAUCUUAGUACCCUCAGGAAAAGAAAUCAAUAGAGAUUGCGUCAGUAGCGGCGAGCGAAAGCGUAAGAGGGCAAACCCAGUGCUUGCACUGGGGGUUGUAGGACUGCAAUGUGCAAGAGGUGAGUUUAGCAGAACAUUCUGGAAAGUAUAGCCAUAGAGGGUGAUAGUCCCGUAUGCGAAAAACAAACCUUAGCUAGCAGUAUCCUGAGUAGGGCGGGACACGAGAAAUCCUGUCUGAAGCUGGGUCGACCACGAUCCAACCCUAAAUACUAAUACCAGAUCGAUAGUGCACAAGUACCGUGAGGGAAAGGUGAAAAGAACUGAGGUGAUCAGAGUGAAAUAGAACCUGAAACCAUUUGCUUACAAUCAUUCAGAGCACUAUGUAGCAAUACAGUGUGAUGGACUGCCUUUUGCAUAAUGAGCCUGCGAGUUGUGGUGUCUGGCAAGGUUAAGCAAACGCGAAGCCGUAGCGAAAGCGAGUCUGAAUAGGGCGCUUAGUCAGAUGCUGCAGACCCGAAACGAAGUGAUCUAUCCAUGAGCAAGUUGAAGCUAGUGUAAGAACUAGUGGAGGACUGAACCCAUAGGCGUUGAAAAGCCCCGGGAUGACUUGUGGAUAGGGGUGAAAGGCCAAUCAAACUUCGUGAUAGCUGGUUCUCUCCGAAAUAUAUUUAGGUAUAGCGUUGUGUCGUAAUAUAAGGGGGUAGAGCACUGAAUGGGCUAGGGCAUACACCAAUGUACCAAACCCUAUCAAACUCCGAAUACCUUAUAUGUAAUCACAGCAGUCAGGCGGCGAGUGAUAAAAUCCGUCGUCAAGAGGGAAACAACCCAGACUACCAGCUAAGGUCCCUAAAUCUUACUUAAGUGGAAAACGAUGUGAAGUUACUUAAACAACCAGGAGGUUGGCUUAGAAGCAGCCAUCCUUUAAAGAAAGCGUAAUAGCUCACUGGUCUAGUGAUUUUGCGCGGAAAAUAUAACGGGGCUAAAGUAAGUACCGAAGCUGUAGACUUGCGCACAACUUAGAUUAUUUAAGUUUAGAAUAUGAGAAACUAAGUUAUAUGUUUAGUUAUAUUUUUACUGAUUUUUAUAGAGUAAAGAUAGAAAUAAAACUUAGUAAAAUCAGUAAAAAUAUUCUUAGACUAAAGUUAAGUAGUUUAAGUUGUGUGCAAGUGGUAGGAGAGCGUUCUAUUUGCGUCGAAGGUAUACCGGUAAGGAGUGCUGGAGCGAAUAGAAGUGAGCAUGCAGGCAUGAGUAGCGAUAAUUAAUGUGAGAAUCAUUAACGCCGUAAACCCAAGGUUUCCUACGCGAUGCUCGUCAUCGUAGGGUUAGUCGGGUCCUAAGUCGAGUCCGAAAGGGGUAGACGAUGGCAAAUUGGUUAAUAUUCCAAUACCAACAUUAGUGUGCGAUGGAAGGACGCUUAGGGCUAAGGGGGCUAGCGGAUGGAAGUGCUAGUCUAAGGUCGUAGGAGGUUAUACAGGCAAAUCCGUAUAACAAUACUCCGAGAACUGAAAGGCUUUUUGAAGUCUUCGGAUGGAUAGAAGAACCCCUGAUGCCAUCGAGCCAAGAAAAGUUUCUAAGUUUAGCUAAUGUUGCCCGUACCGUAAACCGACACAGGUGGGUGGGAUGAGUAUUCUAAGGCGCGUGGAAGAACUCUCUUUAAGGAACUCUGCAAAAUAGCACCGUAUCUUCGGUAUAAGGUGUGGUUCGCUUCGUAUUAGGAUUUACUCCGAAAGCGAAGAAACUUACAACAAAGAGUCCCUCCCGACUGUUUACCAAAAACACAGCACUCUGCUAACUCGUAAGAGGAUGUAUAGGGUGUGACGCCUGCCCGGUGCUCG